CAGAGCAUCAGGAAAGCCACUUUUCACUGUGUUAUGCUGUUUAUCGGAUCUGUAAGGAUACCUCUUAGUAAAGAGAAAAAGGUUACUUCUAGUCUUACUUUUCUGAGACUCAUUUUAAAAUCCCAAAAAGCCAGCUGCCAUGCAGUGAAUAGCUUUAUGAAGAGGCUCUGUGCUGAAGAAUUUUACUGCCAACAUUAUGAGUCAUCAUGGAGGUGACUUGCUAGCUCAUUCAAGUUCUCAGCUAAUAUGAACCCAAGUGAACAUCAUGAUUACAACCUCAUGGCAGACCUUAGCCUGAACCAUUUGCCUCCGAGAUUUGGUACUCUUAGUCAUGUGUAAAAAAAAUAUAUCUUUCUUUCAAGUUGAUAAAUUUGAGCAAAACGUGUCUUGUCAUGUAAUAACAAAUUUCUAAUAAAAUUGGCAUUAGGACAGAA